rnacentral:lncRNA from 1 species
UUUUGUUGUGAUUAAGUUUGUUAGUACAACCAGUGAGCGCACACAUUGUCUUUUAAGAGGGUGUAGUGUUUUAAGAGGGUGUAGCCAUUAGGCCUUUGGGUUAGCUGGUCGUUAUAAAGUAAGUUAAGCUUAGGAUAGGCCCGGGACUUUUACUCUCCCUAACAAACUACGUUUCAAGUAGGCCGCAGCCCGCUAGCUGCUUGGCAGCGAUGCAUUAUGACGUAAGGCCUACUAAAAAGCCCAUUCGUAUCACAAAAACUGUUGCAACGCACCGAAGGUUGUAGUCUUUUUCGCAAAGUCCCGAUACUUGUGACAAAAAAAAUUUAGCUACGCAUUUUUUUGGACUUCCAAGCACAAUGUCCGAACACAUUAAACAAAUUUUUAGUUAUUUUUUCGGGCUAAAAUUACUAUGCUUGUUGAUUUUGUUUUUGGUUGCUUUUUCCGUUUAAUUUUAAUUUAAUUUUAAAACUCAAACAACGUUUUAGUUUAUAUAAAAUUUAUACAUAAUUUAUAAUAUAUUUAUAAUAUAUAUUGUAAUUUAUAAUAUAUAUUGUAGCGGUUUCGCGAAGGGAAAGCUUAAGCCUAGUUGUAGUUAGUUUCUCGAAGAGGAAUUACAAGAUCUUGACCAUAGAAACUACAAGCUAAGUGCAGAGCACUGUCGUUGUAACUUACUAACGGUGUCUUCCACCGAGAUACUUACAGCGCUUUCCUUGUCUUCCCCCUUUGGGUUGUCUUCUUUGGGUUACCCUUUGGGUUGUCUUCUUUGGGUUACCCUUUGGGUUGUCUUCUUUGGGUUACCCUUUGGGUUGUCUUCUUUGGGUUACCCAUUCCCUUUAGUUCAUCCCCUAAAGGGGAACCAAGGGGGUUCCCCUUUAGUUCCCCUUUAGUUCUUCCCCUUCGUUUUCUUCCCCAAAGGGGAACCCCUUCUUCCCCUUUAGGGGACUCCGUCCCCUUUAGUUCCCCUAAAGGGGAUGAAGAAGGGUAACACCCCUUCGUCUUCCCCAAAGGGGAACCCCCCUUCGGUUCAUCCCCUUCGUUUUAACCCCUUUGGUUCAUCCCCUUUAGGGGAACUAAAGAAGACGAACUAAAGGGGUGUUCCCCUUCGGGGAUGAACACUAAAGGGGAAGAAGAAGACAACAAACUUAGUCUAACCCCGAAGGGGAAGCAUCCCCCAAAGGUCACCAAAGGUCACCAAAGGUCACCAAAGGUCACCCUUUGGUUCAUCCCCUAAAGGGUUUCCAAAGUUUGUUCCCCUUUAGGGGAAGACAACCUUCUUCCCCGAAGUUCCUUCCCCGAAGUUCCUUCCCCGAAGUUCCUUCCCCGAAGUUCCUUCCCCGAAGUUCCUUCCCCGAAGUUCCUUCCCCGAAGUUCCUUCCCCGAAGUUCCUUCCCCGAAGUUCCUUCCCCGAAGUUCCUUCCCCGAAGUUCCUUCCCCGAAGUUCCUUCCCCGAAGUUCCUUCCCCUUUGGAAACCCUUUUUGUUACCCAUCCCCUUUAGUUCUUCUUCUUCCCCUUCGUCUUCUUCCCCUAAAGGGGAACUAAAGUUCCCCUUUAGGGGAAGAACUUUAGGGGAUGAAGAACAAAGAAGACAGACAACCCUUCGGUUUUCGUCAUCCCCUUUAGUUCCCCUUUAGGGGAUGAACAACUUGUUCUUUAUUUUUUGUCUGUCUUCUUUGUUCUUCAUCCCCUUUAGGGGAUGGGUAACAAAAAGGGUUUCCAAAGGGCUCGUCAUCCCCUAAAGGGUUGUCCCCUUUAGUUCUUCCCCGAAGGGGAACCCCUUCGUCUCCCCUUUGGGGAACACUAAAGGGGAUGAACCAAAGUCUUCCCCUUGUCAUCCGUCUUCCCCUAAAGGGGAACUAAAGUUCCCCUUUAGGGGAAGAAGAAGAACUAAAGGGGAUGGGUAACCAAAGGGUUGUCUGUCCCCUUUAGUUCCCCUUUAGGGGAUGAACAAACUUUGGGGUUCCCUUUGGGGAUAACCAAAGGGAGCCCAAAGGGUGUCCCUUCGGUUAUCCCCAAAGGGAACCCAAAGUUUGACACCCCUAGGGGACGAAAACCAAAGGUUGUCUUCCCCUAAAGGGGAACCCCUUUAGUUCCCCUUUAGGGGAUGAACCAAAGGGUUGUCAUCAUUAAAAUAAAGAACAAGUAGGGACUUUGUUUUCCAUCCCCUUUAGUUCUUCUUCUUCCCCUAAAGGGGAAGACGACAUCCCCGAAGGGGGAACAUCAUCCCCUAAAGGGGAACUAAAGUGCUCGUCCCCUUUAGGGGAACCGAAGGGG